AUAGUAUUUCAUGCAUCACUUAUCUCAAAAGUAUAUUAGUCUAUAAACUCAUCAAUUGAUUUUAUUAUCAAAAUCUACAAUUCAAAAAUUAGAAGCAUGAUGAAUUAUUCUUCUAUACCUAAAUCAAAAUGGGGUAAAGCUCUAAGGACAAUUAUGUAUAUCUUGAAUAAGAUUCCUAGUAAAUCAAUUCCAUUAACUUUAUUUAAAAU
rnacentral:lncRNA from 1 species